AUCUUAAAUCACCCUAUUAGGGUGUGACAAACCGGCGGGAUCGUGAUGCCUCCACAAUCACUCUCUGUUUCCAUAAACGAUCAAGGACUGCUGUGCCAACGAAAGUUGACGUUCCGGGUUGAUGGUUCUCUCGGUUCUCUCACUGGCUGUCAUAAAAAAAAACCUGGAUUCCCGUCAAGGUGGUUUCAGUCAUCAAGUGCCAACGCCCAUUCGUAUCAAAAGUCACCAAGACAUUCAAGCGAAGAAUCAAUAUUUUUUCCAGACAAACGUCAAGUUGAUUUAGCUGGUAUCGUCGUACGAUGACAACUGCUCGUCAACCAGUAUAGAUGAAAAUAAGCUCAGAGUUGUCACAGCCGUGUAUGUCAGCACGCAAACAGUGGUUCACCUUGCUGCUGGUGGGGGUGUUCAUAUCGUCUUCAUCAUAAUAAGGU